rnacentral:miRNA from 1 species
AGAGAGCGGGCAUCUGCUGACAGCGGGGCCUCUCAGGAGGCCCACACGCGUCCCAUUAGUCAGCUCGAGUUCCCCUCGGGCGAGCCGUCUGGCACGGCCUCGAGGCCCGGUU